rnacentral:rRNA from 1 species
CAAGUCGAACGAGAGAUGAGGAGCUUGCUCUUCAGAUCGAGUGGCGAACGGGUGAGUAACGCGUGAGGAACCUGCCUCAAAGAGGGGGACAACAGUUGGAAACGACUGCUAAUACCGCAUAAGCCCACGGCUCGGCAUCGAGCAGAGGGAAAAGGAGCAAUCCGCUUUGAGAUGGCCUCGCGUCCGAUUAGCUAGUUGGUGAGGUAAUGGCCCACCAAGGCGACGAUCGGUAGCCGGACUGAGAGGUUGAACGGCCACAUUGGGACUGAGACACGGCCCAGACUCCUACGGGAGGCAGCAGUGGGGAAUAUUGCACAAUGGGGGAAACCCUGAUGCAGCGACGCCGCGUGGAGGAAGAAGGUCUUCGGAUUGUAAACUCCUGUUGUUGAGGAAGAUAAUGACGGUACUCAACAAGGAAGUGACGGCUAACUACGUGCCAGCAGCCGCGGUAAAACGUAGGUCACAAGCGUUGUCCGGAAUUACUGGGUGUAAAGGGAGCGCAGGCGGGAGAACAAGUUGGAAGUGAAAUCCAUGGGCUCAACCCAUGAACUGCUUUCAAAACUGUUUUUCUUGAGUAGUGCAGAGGUAGGCGGAAUUCCCGGUGUAGCGGUGGAAUGCGUAGAUAUCGGGAGGAACACCAGUGGCGAAGGCGGCCUACUGGGUACCAACUGACGCUGAGGCUCGAAAGUGUGGGUAGCAAACAGGAUUAGAUACCCUGGUAGUCCACACCGUAAACGAUGAUUACUAGGUGUUGGAGGAUUGACCCCUUCAGUGCCGCAGUUAACACAAUAAGUAAUCCACCUGGGGAGUACGACCGCAAGGUUGAAACUCAAAGGAAUUGACGGGGGCCCGCACAAGCAGUGGAGUAUGUGGUUUAAUUCGACGCAACGCGAAGAACCUUACCAAGUCUUGACAUCCCUUGACGAUGCUGGAAACAGUAUUUCUCUUCGGAGCAAGGAGACAGGUGGUGCAUGGUUGUCGUCAGCUCGUGUCGUGAGAUGUUGGGUUAAGUCCCGCAACGAGCGCAACCC